rnacentral:sRNA from 1 species
CGAGCGAUCAUAAGGUAGCUGACUGCAAAUCUGCCGUCAUCGACUUCAAAGGUUCGACUCGAGUGCCAGCGAGAGAACGUUGCCAGAGGCAACGGCCCGAAGGGUGAGGAGCAUUUGCUCCGAAUAAUCCUUCCCUUUCGUA